rnacentral:rRNA from 1 species
UCAGACGAUGCGUCAUGCAUAUCAAUAAGCGGAGGAAAAGAAACUAACAAGGAUUCCCUCAGUAACGGCGAGUGAAGCGGGAAGAGCUCAAAUUUGAAAUCUUGCAAGGUUUACCUUUCACGAAUUGUAGUUUAAAGAAGUGUUUUCUGUUAAGAUUUGGUAAUAAGUUCUUUGGAAUAGGGACAUCAUAGAGGGUGAGAAUCCCGUAUAUUGACCAUUGGAUUUGUCAGCUUUGUGAUACACUUUCAAAGAGUCGGGUUGUUUGGGAAUGCAGCCCAAAACGGGAGGUAAAUUUCUUCUAAGGCUAAAUAUUGGCGAGAGACCGAUAGCGAACAAGUACCGUGAGGGAAAGAUGAAAAGAACUUUGAAAAGAGAGUUAAAUAGUACGUGAAAUUGUCAAAAGGGAAGCGUUUAACACCAGUGUUGUUUUCUGAAAAUCAACCUCUGUUAGCUUUAUGCAUGUUUGUUUAGACCUAAUCAGCUAUCUUGCAUGUUCUAUUGUUUGCAGUGGUGCACUUUUCAGUUUACAGGUCAACAUCAGUUUUUUUUACCGUAAAAAAGUUAAAGAAAGGUAGCUCAUGGCUCCGGUCGUGAGUGUUAUAGUCUUUUUCCUAUGCGGUAGGAGAGACUGAGGUCUGCAGUGUAGGCUAUUUGGCUAGAUACUCAGGUGCUAUGUGAUACCAUUUCAUAAACAACUUGUUGAUUAUGUUUUGUCUAUUGCAUACUCGCUUGUACUAUCAUACCUACGCUUAGGAUGUUGAUCUGUAGUGCGUGCGC